GCGCGGGGCUGAGCGUGUCGGCGGCCGGGCGGGCGGGGGCGGCGUGUCCGCGUGUCCCGGGGUGUGCGCGUCCCCGGCGGGUGUGCGUGUGCACCCCGGAGCGUCUGGUGGCGUUGUUGGGGGAGGUGGCCCCACCUGCCAGUCUGUGAUUGCCACAGAGACAAGCCAGCCAAGAAGUGCCACCCUGGACGAAGGUCGGGAGAAGAAGACACAUGAAUUAGAGACAGCACGGGGGAGCAGGCUGUGGAGCUGGGAGUGACGGGGUGAGUCCAGGAAGGCUGCCUGGAGGAGAUGCCCAGGAGAGAAGUUUGCUGGGAGGCAGCUCAUUUCCGGCAGGAGGAGCAGAGCCUGCCAAGGCCUCGAGUUCGUGCCCUCGUGAGGCUGGCAUGCAGGAUGGCAGGACAGCCCGGCCACAUGCCCCAUGGAGGGAGUUCCAACAACCUCUGCCACACCCUGGGGCCUGUGCAUCCUCCUGACCCACAGAGGCAUCCCAACACGCUGUCUUUUCGCUGCUCGCUGGCGGACUUCCAGAUCGAAAAGAAGAUAGGCCGAGGACAGUUCAGCGAGGUGUACAAGGCCACCUGCCUGCUGGACAGGAAGACAGUGGCUCUGAAGAAGGUGCAGAUCUUUGAGAUGAUGGACGCCAAGGCGAGGCAGGACUGUGUCAAGGAGAUCGGCCUCUUGAAGCAACUGAACCACCCAAAUAUCAUCAAGUAUUUGGACUCGUUUAUCGAAGACAACGAGCUGAACAUUGUGCUGGAGUUGGCUGACGCAGGGGACCUCUCGCAGAUGAUCAAGUACUUUAAGAAGCAGAAGCGGCUCAUCCCGGAGAGGACAGUAUGGAAGUACUUUGUGCAGCUGUGCAGCGCCGUGGAGCACAUGCAUUCACGCCGGGUGAUGCACCGAGACAUCAAGCCUGCCAACGUGUUCAUCACAGCCACGGGCGUCGUGAAGCUCGGUGACCUUGGUCUGGGCCGCUUCUUCAGCUCUGAGACCACCGCAGCCCACUCCCUAGUGGGGACGCCCUACUACAUGUCACCGGAGAGGAUCCAUGAGAACGGCUACAACUUCAAGUCCGACAUCUGGUCCCUGGGCUGUCUGCUGUACGAGGUGAGUCUCUGUCCGUGGCUCAGCAGCAUUUGGUGGGACAUGCAUGGGGGGUGCCCAGUUAGGACAGGGCUCACCCUACCAGCUCAGGGUUGGAACCCAGGAAUGUCACGUCUGCCUGAGGCAUCGGUACCACCAGGGCCCUGUCCUUCACCCUCCUCAGCCCCACGUGGGGCCUGGUCUGCAGGGCCAGGCUGGUGGAGGCUGUUAGAGGGUGGACAGCAGUGGGCGGGGUCCAGGAAGGGAAGACAGAGGGAGCACAGGCCAGGCAUCUGAUCCCCAGCUGCCCCUGCCCCCGUCGCCCUGGUAACCACAUUAACACACCGGCGAUUCUGUUCAUCCUUUAUUAUGGGUCAGGCCCGGUGCAGGGCACCUGGGGUCAGGAGAGGAGUCAGACUUGCCUCAUGCCCCUGAAUCACUCUCCACUGACAGGUGGCCACCCCCUCCAGGCCCAGAAAUGUGGGUCUCCCUAAAGACCACCACCUCUCCCCUGAGCUGUUAAAUGGAGCUAGGGGAUGGCCACUUCCAGACCUGGUGGCCUGCCUGGACAAAGGGACAGGAACAUUUCUGAGUUUCAGUGAGCCCAGACGUGAGACAAUAAGAAUAAAUGGAAGCCCCCCACCCAUUUUGUCCAGCCACACUGGGGCCCCAGGUGAUGAGAGGUGUGGGGAGCAUGAGCCACUCUUGGCCAUGAAGCUCUUGCAGCCACCGGCAGGAGGGAGGCCUAAGUUCUCCGGUGUCCAGGUUGGCAGCCACACAAGCUCCCCACUGUCCCUAGACCACCAAAGGCUGGGUGGCUCCGGGAUUCCAUCCACCUGGCUGAGCCCCUCCGCAUCUAUAAGAUGGGAACAGGACCACCUGUCUUGCAUUGUCCUCAGUCCUGAUAAAUGACAGACAGGAAAGGGCUCUGGAAACCCCCCCAGGCUGUUAGACACCAAGCCCGGCUUGGUUUUACAGUUGGAACCCUGACUGUUUUUCUGCUUUCCCUGGAGCUGACUUGAGCAGAUGUGGGGUCUGGCUUGGAGCUGACACACUGAAAGAACUUCAGUCUCAGCUGCUGUGGCCGGUGACAGUCCACAGCAGUGAUGCUCAGGACAGCGUGUCCAGGGCCUGCCUCGAGUGCUGCGCAGUUGUCCACAGAGCCUGAUUGCUCUGUCCCCUUGGGACUGUCGACUCUGAGGCUGACCUCACAGCCCUUGUGCAUGAACUUGAGGGCUACGCUGCCCACCGCUGGGCCACGUGGGACCCGCGGCCGCUCUCGUGGCCAGGGGGUCUUGUGGCCAGGGUCUUUUGGUGGUGAGAUUUCCCCUCCCCACAUUACAGAUUGAGACUAUGAGUUCAAAACUCUGAUCUGUUUGCAGGGUUUAAACUUCACAGCAUCUUUCUUUUGUUUUUUUGAGACAGAGUCUCACUCUUGUCGCCCGGGCUGGAGGGCAGUGGCGCAAUCUCGGCUCACUGCGGCCUCCACCUCCCAGGUUCAAGCAAUUAUCCUGCCUUAGCCUCCCAAGUAGCUGGGACUACAGACGCCCGCCACCCCACCCGGCAAAUUUUCGUAUUUUUUGGUAGAGACGGGGUUUCACCAUGUUAGCCAGGCUGGCAGCAUCUUUCUUUAUAAGCCAGUGACCUGCUAUAUUUCAUUUUAACAGACUGGCUGGAGGUGUGGUCCUUGUGGAACUGGUGCUUGGGACCCCUUCUCCCGGGGCUCAGCAGAUGCGGGUGACAAGAGGGUGGGACCCCUUCUCCCAGGGCUCAGCAGAUGCGGGUGACAAGAGGGUCUGUGGGUUAGUCUGGCCCUGACAGAGCUGGGAAGCAGGCCGGGUGCUCUUUCCAGGACUCCACAGGGCAUCGGUUGCAGGAGGAGCUCUUUGAAUGAGGACCUAGCUGGAGCAGCCAUGGCGAGUGUGUAGUGGAUGGGGAAGGGGCCUGCAGGUGAAAGGGGGACGAGCCAUUUGUCCUCCCUGCCUCCCUGUCUCUCCACAGCCCAGCUCCUGGGUGGGUUGGGGCGGCGAGUGUUGAGCAGGGUGUGUGGGUGGGCUCGGGGGAGGGCAGUGGAUGUAGGAGAGAAUUUGGAGGGAAGUCAGUGUCUUUAGCCAUAGGAGACAAGACAUGUUAAGUCCAAACUCUUCUGAGACAGGAGGAAACCUGCUGGUGUAGGGCCCUGUGUGCCUGCACAUUCCGAACAGCCCCGGGGAGGGUGCGUGCCUGUUAUUUUGCGGAGAAGACGUUAAAUCCAGGUGGGGAAAGCCCCGGGUGUGGAGAGUUGUUGAGUGGCGCAGAGCCACUGUGCUGCUGGUGUGUGUCCCCCAGGAGGAGUCGUGAGUUCCAGUCUCUCCAGGACUCCUCUAAAUCCAGGCAGGUGGCCACUCUGGCCACCAAGGUCGCUGAGGCUAGCAGUAGAGUCACGCCCAUGUCACCUGCUAACCCGGCUGUCCCUGGGCUCAGGGCUCCAGCGUCACCGCCCUGCCCCCACUUGCCCUAAGGUCUGAGGAGGGGAUGCAAACCCACCUGUAAGUGGGCAUCGUUCACCCGGUGUCAGAUCCUGAGGGGAAGAGACAGGCGUUCUAGGUCUCCCAAGGCCCAGGCUAAUGCCCGCAGCAUAGUGGAUGGUCGGGGAGCACAAUUUUGAAUUAGAGCACGUGUCUGUGUGUAGGCAGCUCACUUACCAACUCACUUUCAUCCAAAUCCCAGCUCCAGGGCCCACCCACGGAAGGAUCCAGGCAAGUCAGCCCCUCCCGGGUGGGCCUCAGGUGUCCCAUAUGUAGAAUGAGUGGCCAGCCCACCUUGUCAUAGUGAGGAAGGAAUGAGGCCCUAGGGGUGAGGUGCCCGAGUCAGAGAAGGCCCUCGGGCCUGUCCACCAGCUGCAGGCCAAGCACGGGCACUUCUGCCCGCCUCCGGCACGAGGCUCCUGCAGCUUGCCACAUUUCCCUUUUUGCUUUGGCCAGCGGGAAGCCAAAGUGCAGCCCAGCCUCAGUCUCCGAGGAGGCUCCACUUUGUCCUCCUUUCCUCAUGUGUCUUGUCCCUGGGUCAGAUGGCUUUUCGUUUCUUUUUCCAUUCUGCUUUGUGUUUUUGUAAGCUGCUUCCUGUCUCCCAUGAACCAUGGGCUCUCCACACAUAAACACACACACAGCAUAUGAACACACACACAGGCUGGCCAGGCUGACAGAGCUGUGCCCACUUCCCUGGGGCUGGGGCCGGGAGGCCAGCAGCUGGCUCCCUCUGCCUGUGCCAGGCCCUCCACUUGAGAACCGGCCCUGUGGUUCCCAGCCCCGUUCCCUGCCUCAGUCUUUGUCUCGGCUCUGCAGAGGCAGGCACAGCCCAUCCUGUGCCAGGCCUCACUGAAUUCUGGCUCGGGCAGUCCUCCUCCGAGUCCUCAUUUGUGGGCACCUAAAUGUGCAUCUCACAAGGCAGUCCCGCCUUCGUGACUCCCUGGCAUUGAGGCUCGGGUUACGCCGAGCUGACUCAUUUGUUGGAGUGAGUGGGGCUGUGCGGCUCGCAGCUGGGGGGGCUGGACCACAGCCGGGGGGCGGUGAGGGGACGGAUCGCAGCCGGGGGGUGGUACGGGGGAUGGAUCGCAGCUGGGGAGGUACCGAUCGCAGCGAGGGGUGGUGUGGGGGGACAGAUCACAGCCAGGGGUGGAUACCAGUCAGCAGUAGGAAGUGAAUGAAACACAGCAGUCAAGCCCUGAGGGGAUUAGCGUCCUCAGGGACAUCAGGCGCUGACCUAACCCUAGCAGCCCCGGCCUCACACAGCAGCAGGCUGCUGUGGCCACCCAUAGCCGGCCCAUCCAAGGGUAACGGGGCAGGGGCUCUGUGCCAAGUGACCCCCUCCCCACUCCUGCAGUCCCUAAAGGGGAAGGUGAAGCAGGCGUUUCCCCAGCAGACAGGGAGGAGAGCCACAUCUGAGCCCACGGCCAUGUAAUUGGAAAGAGGCCUCCCGCAGUCACGCCCGGAGCCUCCCGCCCCACAGCCUGUGGUGUCUUCCAGGGGCACCAGCCUGAAGAGCUGUGACAAAGCCCCCUGCCCUCUCUGGACAACAGCUGAGGAUCCUGCACAGGGCACAUACCCAGGUCACCUGGGCCCUGGUGACAGACACAGCCGGAGAAAACCUGCCCUUCCCCAAGCCCCAGCACAGCCCGGAAGGCUCAAAAGCCCCUGUGCUCAUCCCUGUGGCUGCAGUGACAGAUGCCACCACGCCGAUGGCUUCAAGCAACAUAAGUUUACUCUCUUAGAUCUCGAGGAUUCUGGAGGCCAGAUGUCCAAAAUCAGUCUCGCUGGGCUAAGUCAAGGUGUCAGCGGGCAGGUGCCUUCUGGACGUUCUGGGGGCGAAUCUGUUUCCUUAUGUUUUCCAUGGAAAAUGGAGAGGCCACCCGCGGUCCUCGGUCCCCGCCUUGUGUCACCACAGCCUCUGGUGUGCGUCAGCCUGGCGUCUUCCCCUCUUCUGUGCCCUUCUCUCUCGGGCUCCCUGUCAUGAGGGCUCUUGUGGGUACGUUGGGGCCCACCUGGAUAAUGCCCCCAUCUCAGGAGCCAACAUUUCAUCACAGCUGCAAAAUCCCAUUUGCCCUAUAAAGUGUCAUUUACAAGUCCCAAAAAUUCGGUGAUGGAUGUCUUUGGGGCCCACCAUUGAGUCCCCCAUACCCUCUCUCACACUUGGGCAUCAGCUAUUACCGAGGACCUCCUGUGGCCACCGGAGUUGCUGGCGCUGACCCCAGCUAGUGGGAGCCACCACAAAGCCCCGCACCUGGCCCUCGGGUGGGGCCCCAGCGGAGUGUCUUGAAGAGGCUGGAAUCAGGAGUGCUGGCCCGAACAUGGAGUGAAUCAUGACUCGCAGGCCAGGCGGUGGGGAGCCCCCGGUGGGAGCUGGGAGCAACAAUGCCCGAGCUUGGGAUAUCGGAAGGCCGGGCUCUGUUCUCGUUACCUAGAUGCCCAUGGAGGUGCCCAGCGGGCUGCCCGCUCUGCAGGACUGAUUUUUAUCUAUGUGGGAGCUCAGCUGCAAUUACGGAGCUAGAGGAAUUGGCUCAUUCAGUGCCAGUCCCAGGAUCCUCAUAGGGGGCCUCCUCGCAGCAGCCUUGAGGUGCCCAGCUGGGACUGAGACCCAGCGAGACAGCGGACUCAAGGGGAAGAUCUGCGGAGCCUUGGCCGGGACGCCGCUUUGGAAUGCUGCUUGGACGGCAGAGAGGCCUGGACGCCCCUCCGUGGUGGAGGAGCAGGGCUGCAGACCUCCUGGCCUCCAGUCACCCUUCUGUCUGGGAUGUGCUCGAGAGACACUGGGUGACAAGAUGGGUGUCUGAGGCCCUGACAGGCAGGAGUCAGAUUCCCCUUGUCCCUCUGACAUCUCAGAUCACACACCAGCUUCUCUGAGCCCUCCUGGUGGGGGCCAGGGCCCACCCACCCCCUUUUCCUCGGCUAUAUGUCACCCUGAUGACACCAGAGAGAAGGGCUUGGCAUUUGAGGAGCAGCGCUGAGAGCCGUGGCCUCGGCAGUUCUAACGAGGCCCCAGACAGUGAGUCCUCUCUAUUUCGACCAGUCAGAGUCUGGGUGGUCACUGGUAGAAGGAGAUCUCGCCGUCCAGGGUAAUCGUUGUAAUCCGCGCAGCCCAGAGCUUUCUUCACAGCCCAUUGCCCUGAUGAGGGUGGAAGGCCCAUGGCCGGCAGCAGAGUGGGGGCAGGCUGGGGCGGAUGGAGGAGGCCUGUUCCUGGGGAAGGCCGAGAGGGGUCCUCUGGCAUAGCUCACUGCUGACCCCAUUCAAAAGGCUUUUCUGAAACGAUGUGGAGAAAGUGCUGGAAAGAGCAGAGACAUGAUGGGAAGUGGAUGCCAGCUUGGGGGCUCAAUGCUCCCCUCAGCGUUCUGGGGCCUUUGGAGUUCCCAGCAGCGAGGUUUAUAAAAUUGAGAUCAAAUGGGCAUGAUCUGAAGUUGAAGAUCGGCUGAUUCCUCUCCGGGGUCAGCCACAUGAAAAACCAGGGCCUGCGUUCACAGGACCAACACUCAAAAUGUCCCUUCUACGCUGCACAGUAACAGUCCAGGAAAAUCCACCUUAAUCCUCCAGCUGCAACUCGGGGGCACCCAGAUCACCCCAGGUGACCGUCCUGGAGUCUCAGCUGCUCUCUGUUAUGGCAACAGAUGUCCUUUGAAAAUGCCCGAUUAACCCUUUGCACCCGAGAGUCUCAUUUUAAUUCCUGGACAUGCGUCACCUGGGUGGUGCAUUUGGCAGGCUCCCAGCCCGCUCCUGGUCAGGUCAGCAGACCCCAAAAUGGGCAGGGCCUCUGCAUCCUCACACUUCCCCUGCCUGGCCAGACCCUCCCUGCAGCCCUCCUCCAAGGGUGGGUUUCAGGCUCCACAUGGGUUCCCAGCCCUUCUCUGAGGGGCCCAAGCUCCCAGCCAGCCGGAAGACAGAGGUGAUGCUGUCCCUAAACACCCACCUGAAGGCACUUGGCCUGGCCUGGGCUCCUGGUCCCGAGGGUGCUGAACCUGGGGCUGAGGAAAGCCCACAGUCUCCAGGCUGCACUCAGCAGCUUCCCCAAAGGCCAUCUGCAAACCCAAGGAUGGUGCCAGGCUCUGAAGCUCCUCCACGCCCUCCUGAAGGAGGCAGGCCCUUGGGGUCACCAGACCUGUUCAUGGACGAACACAGAAUGGGGCAAGACCAGGAAACCCAAGCUGACGGGCACCCUCAAACCCUGCUACCAAGGACUCCUCCCCGCUCAGCCUCUGGGGCGCGAGGACAAGCGACGGUUCCCCAGGUAUCCCAGGGCCCCUCGGUAGGCGCCCAGGAGCCCUUGGCCAAGAAGCCAGAGCAGGGUGGCCCCUCCGGGGGGGAACCGGGGCCAGACAGCAGGAGGGCACUCGCCCGACGGCACUUCACUAGCCGGAGGCAUUGGGCCUCGGGGGGCGGUCCGGGAGGCAGGCAGCCACAGUGAGCUGGAGUGACGAGAAGCUCUUUCCCAUUAUGGGUUCAUAAUGGGGCCAGCAGGUGCCACGCUGGGCUGCUGCGCCACCGCCUCAGGGCCACUGUGGCCCCUGCACACCCCCUUGAGGAGUCCCCUGUGAGUGCCCUGAGUGGUGGGGCAGCCUGGCAGCACCCUGACAGCUGAGAACUCACAGGAGGCCACCGCCCCACAGGCCUUUCGCUCCCCCGUGGCUGUGGCCGGCCUUCAGGGCAGAACCGGUGCCGCAGGCCUCACCUCAUCAAAGGCGGUCUUGGCCCUGCUGGUGGUGCCUCCUCCGUGUGCCAGCCCAAGCCUCGCCACAGGCCUGUGGGUGGGGACAUUUUACAAAUGAGGAAACUGAAGUCCAGAGACACAGCGAGUGCAGAGCUGGGGUCGGGACAGAGCUAGGGCUGGCUGUGGAGCCAGGCGCUUCCCUCCCACCCUGAAGGUUCCCUCCAACAUGCUGCUGCGCACCUCUAUCCAGGGGCAGGAGGCUGCCUCCCUCCCUCCUGAACCCCCUGCUCCCCCUGCCCUGAUACCGGCAGCUGGCUUCCACAGGCAGCAGCUCUGCGAGGGGCUGGCAAGAACAGCCACAGUGAAAUGCCUCACCCUUCUCCGGCCCACCCCACCCCAAAAUGUCAGUCCAUAGGUAAGGAAAGCUCUCUGAACAUGUGGGGCACAGAGACCUGCCCCUGCAGGCAUCUUGGAAAAAUCGCGUUUUAUGGAAAUAAGACCAUGCACUCGGCAACCUGCCACAUGGAGCCUGGGUCCCCCGGGCUGAGGUGGGAGCAAGGUGGGAAUUAGCUUGCAGCGUCCAGCUGCCCUUCUUUAUUGCCUUGAAAGUUUUGUCACCGAAACCCUCGUGCCCACUUAAUCCAGUGACAGAAUCAGGGUAGUGUUGCGCCUGCUCCUCUGUUGAACCCCAGCAUGCUCGGUGAUUCGGGGGAGAAGUCCUGCUGGACUCGCCGCGGUCGGGACCAGAGAGAACCCAUGCCCCAACAAUCUGGAGCAGCCUCCUCCUCUCUAGUCCUUCUGAGCCUUGAGGCCGAAAGCUUAUCUUCGUUGUUCCCGUCCC